rnacentral:rRNA from 1 species
GAUGAACGCUGGCGGCGUGCCUAAUACAUGCAAGUCGAGCGAACAGACGAGGAGCUUGCUCCUCUGACGUUAGCGGCGGACGGGUGAGUAACACGUGGAUAACCUACCUAUAAGACUGGGAUAACUUCGGGAAACCGGAGCUAAUACCGGAUAACAUGUUGAACCGCAUGGUUCAACAGUGAAAGACGGUCUUGCUGUCACUUAUAGAUGGAUCCGCGCCGCAUUAGCUAGUUGGUAAGGUAACGGCUUACCAAGGCAACGAUGCGUAGCCGACCUGAGAGGGUGAUAGGCCACACGGGAACUGAGACACGGUCCAGACUCCUACGGGAGGCAGCAGUAGGGAAUCGUCCGCAAUGGGCGAAAGCCUGACGGAGCAACGCCGCGUGAGUGAAGAAGGUCUUCGGAUCGUAAAACUCUGUUAUUAGGGAAGAACAAAUGUGUAAGUAACUAUGCACGUCUUGACGGUACCUAAUCAGAAAGCCACGGCUAACUACGUG